GACGAACGCUGGCGGCGUGCUUAACACAUGCAAGUCGAACGAAGUGGCGAACGGGUGAGUAACGCGUAAUCAACCUGCCCUUCAGAGGGGGACAACAGUUGGAAACGACUGCUAAUACCGCAUACUGAAGGAGGGGAAUGCGUCUGAUUAGCUAGUUGGGGGGGUAACGGCCCACCAAGGCGAUGAUCAGUAGCCGGUAUGAUAGCAUGUACGGCACCAUUGGGACUGGGACACGGCCCAGACUUCUACGGGAGGCAGCAGUGGGGAUUCUUCCGCAAUGGACGAAAGUCUGACGGAGCAACGCCGCGUGAGUGAUGACGGCCUUCUGGUUGUAAAGCGCUGUUAAUCGGGACGCGGUACCGGAAUAGAAAGCCACGGCUAACUACGUGCCAGCCGCCGCGGUAAUUC
rnacentral:rRNA from 1 species